rnacentral:rRNA from 1 species
UACGGAGGGUGCAAGCAUUAAUCGGAAUAAUUGGGCGUAAAGGGCGCGUAGGCGGAUAAAUAAGUCAGAUGUGAAAUUCCGAGGCUCAACUUCGGAGCUGCAUUUGAAACUAUGUAUCUUGAGGGAUGGCGGAGAAAGUGGAAUUCCACGUGUAGCGGUGAAAUGCGUAGAUAUGUGGAAGAACACCAGUGGCGAAAGCGGCUUUCUAGCUAUCACCUAACGCUGAGGCGCGAGAGCAAGGGGAGCAAACAGG